GAGUUGUGCCCCACGGUUCCUCGAGGUGCAGGACUACAUAUCCCGGCAUGCAUCGGUCUUUAAGGAGGCUUCUGGCCAGAGCGGGAAAUUAAGUGCGCCGUUAGACUUUCUGGAAGAGCUGUCAGCGCUAAAAAUGUGCAGUAUUAUGCAACCAACCAUCAAUUCCAGGAAUUUUCAUCACCCCAAAAAGAAGCCUUGUACUCUUUAAGGAAUUACCUGCUAGGCUCCACUCCCCCACAGGCCGUGGCAACCACUAAUCUGCUUUGUCUUUAUGGAUUUGCCUAUUCUGGACAUUUCAUAUAAAUGGAAUCAUACAAUAUGUGGCCUUUUG